UGCCCCAUGGCUGAGUUGGUUACAGCGUCCGACUGUUAUUCACGAUCAUCGGAAGGUCGAGAGUUCGACCCUCUCUGGGGCAG
rnacentral:tRNA from 1 species